GGGCGAAAGCCUGAUGCAGCGACGCCGCGUGAGGGAUGACGGCCUUCGGGUUGUAAACCUCUUUCAGCAGGGAAGAAGCGAAAGUGACGGUACCUGCAGAAGAAGCSCCSGCUAACUACGUGCCAGCAGCCGCGGUWAUACGUAGGGCGCAAGCGUUGUCCGGAAUUAUUGGGCGUAAAGAGCUCGUAGGCGGCUUGUCACGUCGAUUGYSAAAGCCCGAGGCUUAACCUCGGGUCUGCAGUCGAUACGGGCUAGCUAGAGUGUGGUAGGGGAGAUCGGAAUUCCUGGUGUAGCGGUGAAAUGCGCAGAUAUCAGGAGGAACACCGGUGGCGAAGGCGGAUCUCUGGGCCAUUACUGACGCUGAGGAGCGAAAGCGUGGGGAGCGAACAGGAUUAGAUACCCUGGUAGUCCACGCCGUAAACGGUGGGAACUAGGUGUUGGCGACAUUCCACGUCGUCGGUGCCGCAGCUAACGCAUUAWGUUCCCCGCCUGGGGAGUACGGCCGCAAGGCUAAAACUCAAAGGAAUUGACGGGGRGCCCGCACAAGCAGCGGAGCAUGUGGCUUAAUUUCGACGCAACGCGAAGAAACCUUA
rnacentral:rRNA from 1 species